CUCCAACCUGAGACCCAACCCAACCCAAAAAAUUAAAAAUAUAAAUUUAACCCAACCCAACCCAACCCUUAUAAUAUGAGUUAGAUAGUCAAGGUUAUUCAGGUUCAACUCAUAUUCUUACACCCCUAACUAGCACUAUAAUUUGAAAAUAACUUUGAUCCGCUAGUCCAAAAGCUUGUGAGAGCUUGUAUGUCAUCCCAGAUCUCGAAAGCAGUGCGUUCCGAGUCCUUGAAGAUCCUGUUAUUUCUUUCAAGCCAAAUAGUCCACGAUGUAACAACAAUGGAGUUGAAAGUAAUGACCACUUUUCUGCGUUUUUUGUAUUGAUGCUACAUAAAUCCUUGCAAAGAGAAGCAAUAUUGAAAAAAUUAUGGCCCCAAUAUUAUGCUUCAUUAACACUAGUUGAUACCCUUACAACACGCUUUAUUAUCUGUCUUGAUUUUGCUUCUACAAUAUAGAUUUAUGCUUAUUAUGGUCAUGCACAAACCUCAGGUCACCAUGAAAGUUAUAGAAAGAGACCUUUAAACACUUUCAUAAAAGGCAAUCACACUUUCACUAUCACAUUAUAUCCUUCAUCAAAUUUGUUAAAACAAACAAUUCAAAAAAAGCUAUGAAGACUUCGUCACCAUCCAUAAAAAUUAUGGAACAUUCAAAAGGUUUUAGUAUAAUAUAUCAAGUUCUAUUCGCUAACCAUUUUCCUAGUUAGUCUUUUGGUUAAAAUUUUGUUUACUUCCAGUGCAAUCAAGCUUUAGUUGUAGUUAUCUUCGUUACAAAGGAAUAUUUAAUGUGUAACCCCUUGGUAUUUGUACCCUCUUGGCUCUUCUAAAUUUUUCAAUGUGGGACAAUAUUCAACGUCCAUGUUAAUUGGAUCUUGAACUUUGCUUAUGAGCUUAAGCCCACGAGUCAUUUCCAACAUUAAUUUGGUAUGUAAGUUUCAAAAUGUUACACAUCUAGCCAUAUAAAAAGAGCUGGAAAUUAAAUGUCAAAAGUUAUAUGGUUACAUCAUUGCCUUGUUCAGCAAGAAAAAAUAGUUUUGAUUUAGUUUAUAGAUUUCAAAAUGUUAUAUAUGAGUUUUGUUUUUAUUUGUUCUUUAGAUUUCAAGAUUUGCAAUUUCAAAUUAAAUUUAAGAUUUGCAAUUUCAAACUAAAUUUAGUGAAAAAUUGAAGUAAAAAGUAAACUACCGACCACAACAAUGCUUUCCCAAAAACUUUACAUAUACCCAAAUGAUUUCAACGUUGAAAUAAUGGAAUUUACCUCUUGUUUAGGGAAUUACGUAACGCAGUUGAAUUGUGGUUAUAAAAUAAGGUUUUCAUGAAGCCUCAUGGCAUGCUUCCAUAUAGGUGUCCAAAAUUCUAGUAAAAGAAAGAGACAUUAGAAUUUUGACAGAGUGUUUGUUGAGGUAGGAGGGAUGAUUUUUAUAUUGUAAUAUAGUCUAAACUCCACGUUUAAAUUGAGUGUUGUUUUUGUCCCAUUUAUAAUAAAAUUUGUUAUGUUUCGAAACUUUCCAAUCUCACUAUGAUAUUUUCACUGUUUUCAUGUUUUACGAUCUCAUUUCAUCUACUUUGAUUACUUACGUUUUCUAGUUUUUAGUACUGAAUUGAAUGAAAAUCUUAAAGGAAAUUGUCGUGUUUUGAUCAUAUAAAAACAGUUUUUAAAAGUAGAAUUUAGAUGGUCUAUGAAAGGGGUGAAUUCAAUAAAUCAAAAAAUAUAAAAUAUAAUUUUCAUCCACUGCCAAAAGAUCGACAACUCUCCAAAAACUACUUUAUCAACUCAUCAUUUCUCAUUGUUCCUUUCUUUUUCCUUUUUUCUCCAUUAAGAUAAUUCCAAUUUUACUCUCUCUCUCUCAAAUUCUUGUGUUUGUAUUUAUUUGAAAAAUAUCUCUUUACUUUCUCUUGCAUUUUCUAUCAAAAUAAGAAAAAAAGGAACUCAUUUUUCAUUACAUCAAUAAAUUGGAAAGUUUUAAACCAACAUUAAAAGUUAUUUAAUAUCUCCAAUACUUUUCUUUAUUAUUAAUAACUAUCCGUCAAUAAUUCUAAUAUAUUCAUAAAAUUUAAAUAUCCAUCUAUAUUCUUACUUCAACAUUAUAAGUAAAGAUUUCAUAAUUUGAUCAAAUUUUCAUAAAUAGUCUCUACUAUAGAAACUAUUUAUGAAUGUUUUAUAAAACUAUUGAAACUAAAUUUAGCAAUAUAAAAAGUAAUUGUCUUUAACUAAAAACAAUUCUCUUAGCAAAUAAAUAUAUAUAUAUACACACACACACAUGGUCUCACAUAUUCUCAUUCCAAAGGGUGGAAGACAAAAGAACAACCCACAUUAUAAAUAAUUUUAGUCUUUACAUUUUGAUGAAAUGAACAAAUUACGUUGGAUAUCUAUUUCAAUUUUUAUUGUUUAUUUUGAAACUCAUAUAUUUUUUUCCCUAUUUUUCAAUUGGGGUUUGUUUAUCAUUUACAAUUUUCUUAAAUAAAUAUUUGAAUUUAUAAAGAAAAUAACCUAAUAACUAAAAAAAACAUUAAGGUUAUUUUUUUCAAUUUUCAAAUUUUGACUUAGUUUAUGUCAAAAACUAAUUAAAAGUGUAUAAUAAAACGUAGAACUUUCUAAACUACUGUUGUUUAUACGGAUUAUUCUCCAAAAAAUUAAAAGUAAAAGUUAAUUAUGAUGGUCAUAAGAUAGAGUGAAUACAUACUCUUUUAUCAUCGUAUAAUUAACUUCAAACAUAUAUAUACUACAACAUUAAUUAACUUUUACACAAACAAAAAAAGAAACUUUAAUUUGUUUAUUAACAAAAACUACUUGUUCAAUGAACAUGGUAUGAACUAUAUAUAUGAAAUUCAAUCCUAUCCUAUAUAUAAUAAAAAUUUCUAACUUUCCUAAUAAAUGUAUGAAAAGAAAUAUCUUCUUAUUUUUUGAUUAAGUAAUUAUAAUUUGUAAAUGAAAACUGAUUAUAUUUUUCUCAAAUUUAAACUGUCCAUCUUUGCCAUGAUCGUUCCAAAUCAAAAUUUUAGGCUAACACUUUGAUUCAUUCAUUUAUUAAAACGUAAUCAUAAAUGUCUAUUAAAAAGUCUAUUGUAUAUAUAUAGCAAUAAAAUGUAAAAACAUUGUAAUGUUUUGUUCGAAAAGAAAAUUAAUUGAGCCCCCAACUUCACCCCAACUUCACCCCAACUUCACCCCCAACUCAAUAAAGUCAUUAUAAAUAACAUCCAUAAUAAUCUAAGUAAGAAAACAAAGAGUGCCAACAUCUCCAAUCAACUUCCCAAGUGGAAGAGGCAAAAAGAAUCAAAAUCAGACAAAAACCUAAUGAGCAGCUCCAUUCAGGACAGAAACAGAAAGAACCUUUAAGUUUGAAAAAUAUGGAUUCAUUAAGAUGGUCACUUUAUAAAAUAUACACAAAACCAAAUUACACAUUUUUUUCAAACACAAAUAAAGUUAUAAUCAUAUUUGUUUCAGAAUUUCUCUCUCACACAUCACACAUCACACAUCACACAUACUAUUGCACUUCCUAAUAUCACAUAUAGAAAGCAAAAAAUUUAUUAUGUUUGUAAAUAUUUUCAACUAUUUUUUUAUAUUUGAAAAACCAUCAAACAUAGAUAUAUGAAAAUUGCAUUAUUUGGAGAUGACAUAGAGCUAUAAAUAACCUAUACUCACAAGAUACUGACUUGUCUCACUCACAAAUGCCUUUAUUGUUGCCCUAAUUUGUUCCUACUGCUCAUUGCGCAAAAUUCAUCAGCCCUUUCAAUUGCAACCACAAAAUCAAAAAGGGGGAGAAUUGCAAAAAAAAAGAAGAAAGAAAGAAAGAAAGAAAAAAUCAAAUCCCUCAUCUGCAUAAAGAAGCCCUAGAGGGUAAAAUAAUUUCCCCCUAUAAUUUUUCUUUUUUUGACCAAUUAAUACACACACACACACAUAUAUGAACAAUGUAAAUGAUCAAUAAAUGCAAAUUGACUGACUUUUAAUAUUUUUGGAAGAAUUUUUGUACCACAUAUAUAUUCCAAGGAAAGAAAAAUAGAUUUCAUGGCAGUAACCACUGGCCAGGUAUUUUGUGACAGUAAAAACAAAUGUAAAGGAAUAAUAUGUGUGUGUAUAUAUAUAUAAGAGAAAAUUGAAAUUAGAGAGUUCAAAAAAAGAAAGAAAAAAGAGAAACAUAGUACUAAUGGAGUGGUCCAUUCAAAUGCUCUUUGUAUACGUUUGUCCAAAAACAUACUGCCAAUAUGUAAAGAAAGAAAAAGCAUUAACUAAAAAUGGGAAAAAAAUCAUCUUCAAAUAAUAAUAAUAAUUAUAUAAAAAAAAAACCCAUCAAAUAAAAUGAAAAUCUAAAAGCUACCCAGGUUAAGAAAAUGGCAUAUAAAUCUAAAACAAAAAUAUGGGAUUUUAAAGCCAUGUAUUUGACGAUGCAGCAUCAUCAAGAUUCCCAAAGGAAAAGGCUUCUUCUUCUUUUUUUUUUUUUUUUUUUUAAUUUGAAUAAAAUUAAGAAAAAGAGAGAUGUAUUUUCUAUAUAUAAAAAAAUAAACGUAAAUAAUAAUGAAAGCCUUGUGAAUCUUGAUGGUGCUGCACCAACAAAUAAUGACUGCAAUUUGAUCCUUGAGAUCUUCCAUGGCUUUGGCUUUGGCUUCAGCUUUUUCUAUUAUUCUUCCAUGGAAAAAAGAAAAGAAGAAAGAAUGAGUCUAUAGAUGAAGAAGAAAGAAGAAGGAGAUUUAUUAAUAUAACCCUAAAGAGAGAACAGAGACUAUAAAAUAAAUUCCAUUAUGAAUUAAUUAAAAGGGUUAAAGAUCAAUUGUAAGAUUAUAAUUAAUUACCCACAUCCAUAAAUCAAUAGAGACUUGCCCACACCUUCGGAUCUUCAAACUUUGUAAUAAAAAUGUAUAUGAAAUGUUUGAUUAAAUCAGGGUCGUCACAU
rnacentral:lncRNA from 1 species